UCCGUAGGUGAACCUGCGGAAGGAUCAUUACAAGUGAGGCUACCGAACGUUGGAAACAGCGGUUAGGAGCUUACACCCACCCGUGUUUACAUACUAUUGUUGCUUUGGCGGGCCGUGGCCUCCACUGCGGGCUCUGCUCGUGUGUGCCCGCCAGAGAACCAAACUCUGAAUGUUAGUGAUGUCUGAGUACUAUCUAAUAGUUAAAACUUUCAACAACGGAUCUCUUGGUUCUGGCAUCGAUGAAGAACGCAGCGAAAUGCGAUAAGUAACGUGAAUUGCAGAAUUCAGUGAAUCAUCGAAUCUUUGAACGCACAUUGCGCCCUGUGGUAUUCCGCAGGGCAUGCCUGUUCGAGCGUCAUUUAACCACUCACGCCUAGCGUGGUAUUGGGGCACGCGGUCUCGCGGCCCUCAAAAUUAGUGGCGGCGCCGGUGGGCUCUAAGCGUAGUACAUACUCCCGCUAUAGAGUUCUCCCGGUGGCUCGCCAGAACCCCCAAUUUUUUACAGGUUGACCUCGGAUCAGGUAGGGAUACCCGCUGAACUUAAGCAUAUC
rnacentral:rRNA from 1 species